AGCACAGCAGUAGCAAUACUGUGGGUGGCGAGUGGCGGACGGGUGAGUAAUGCAUCGGGAUCUACCCUGACGUGGGGGAUAACCUCGGGAAACCGGGACUAAUACCGCAUACGUCCUACGGGAGAAAGCGGGGGACCUUCGGGCCUCGCGCGGCAGGACGAACCGAUGUGCGAUUAGCUAGUUGGCGGGGUAAUGGCCCACCAAGGCGACGAUCGCUAGCUGGUCUGAGAGGAUGAUCAGCCACACUGGGACUGAGACACGGCCCAGACUCCUACGGGAGGCAGCAGUGGGGAAUAUUGGACAAUGGGCGCAAGCCUGAUCCAGCAAUGCCGCGUGUGUGAAGAAGGCCUUCGGGUUGUAAAGCACUUUUAUCAGGAGCGAAAUACCACGGGUUAAUACCCUAUGGGGCUGACGGUACCUGAGGAAUAAGCACCGGCUAACUUCGUGCCAGCAGCCGCGGUAAUACGAAGGGUGCAAGCGUUAAUCGGAAUUACUGGGCGUAAAGGGUGCGUAGGCGGUUACUUAAGUCUGUCGUGAAAUCCCCGGGCUCAACCUGGGAAUGGCGAUGGAUACUGGGUGGCUAGAGUGUGUCAGAGGAUGGUGGAAUUCCCGGUGUAGCGGUGAAAUGCGUAGAGAUCGGGAGGAACAUCAGUGGCGAAGGCGGCCAUCUGGGACAACACUGACGCUGAAGCACGAAAGCGUGGGGAGCAAACAGGAUUAGAUACCCUGGUAGUCCACGCCCUAAACGAUGCGAACUGGAUGUUGGUCUCAACUCGGAGAUCAGUGUCGAAGCUAACGCGUUAAGUUCGC
rnacentral:rRNA from 1 species